GCGAGAAACGUUGGAAUUCUCUGCCAGAUGCCAGGGAGUUGGCUCUCGUUAUGAUAUGUUGGUUGAACUGUCAAGAAGAGAGAAAGCAGCUAAAAUUAAGCCAGAUCCUGAUAUUGACAUCUUCAUGAAGGCAGCAGCAACAGAGGGACAAGAGGCCAAUGUUGUUACAGAUUAUGUUCUUAAGCUGUUGGGGCUGGAUAUUUGCGCAGAUACAAUGGUGGGAGAUGAAAUGAUAAGGGGUAUUUCAGGAGGACAAAAGAAGCGUGUGACAACAGGU